UAAGCGGAGGAAAAGAAACUAACAAGGAUUCCCCUAGUAACUGCGAGUGAAGCGGGAAAAGCUCAAAUUUAAAAUCUGGUGGUCUUUGGCCAUNCGAGUUGUAAUUUAGAGAAGCGUUUUCCGCGCUGGACCGUGCACAAGUCUCCUGGAAUGGAGCGUCAUAGAGGGUGAGAAUCCCGUCUUUGGCACGGACACACCAGGGCUUUUGUGAUGCGCUCUCGAAGAGUCGAGUUGUUUGGGAAUGCAGCUCAAAAUGGGUGGUGAACUCCAUCUAAAGCUAAAUAUUGGCGAGAGACCGAUAGCGAACAAGUACCGUGAGGGAAAGAUGAAAAGCACUUUGGAAAGAGAGUGAAACAGUACGUGAAAUUGUUGAAAGGGAAACGCUUGAAGUCAGUAGCGUCGACCGAGACUCAGCCUUGCCUUGGCUUGGUGUACUUCUCGGCUGACGGGUCAGCAUCAAUUUCGCCCCUUGGAUAAUGGCGAGGGAAAUGUGACACCUUUAUGGUGUGUUAUAGUCCCUUGUCGCAUGCAAGGGUUGGGAUUGAGGAACUCAGCACGCACCUUUGGGUGUCGGGGCUUUGCCCACGAUACGUGCUUAGGAUGUUGGCGUAAUGGCUUUAAACGACC
rnacentral:rRNA from 1 species